rnacentral:rRNA from 1 species
AUUGAACGCUGGCGGCAGGCCUAACACAUGCAAGUCGAGUGAGCGGCGGACGGGUGAGUAAUGUAUGGAGAUCUGCCCGAUAGAGGGGGAUCACUACUGGAAACGGUGGCUAAUACCGCAUACCCUCGGAUGUGCCCAGAUGGGAUUAGCUAGUAGGUGGGGUAACGGCUCACCUAGGCGACUAUCCCGAGCUGGUGUGAGAGGAUGACCAGCCACACUGGAACUUGUACACGGUCCAGCCUCCAACGGGAGGCAGCAGUGGGGAAUAUUGCACAAUGGGCGCAAGCCUGAUGCAGCCAUGCCGCGUGUAUGAAGAAGGCCUUCGGGUUGUAAAGUACUUUCAGCGAGGAGGCGUUACUCGCAGAAGAAGCACCGGCUAACUCCGUGCCAGCAGCCGCGGUAAUAC